UAGCUAGUUGGUGGGGUAACGGCCUACCAAGGCGACGAUCAGUAGCCGACCUGAGAGGGUGACCGGCCACAUUGGGACUGAGACACGGCCCAAACUCCUACGGGAGGCAGCAGUGGGGAAUAUUGCACAAUGGGGGAAACCCUGAUGCAGCGACGCCGCGUGAGUGAAGAAGUAUUUCGGUAUGUAAAGCUCUAUCAGCAGGGAAGAAAAUGACGGUACCUGACUAAGAAGCCCCGGCUAACUACGUGCCAGCAGCCGCGGUAAUACGUAGGGGGCAAGCGUUAUCCGGAUUUACUGGGUGUAAAGGGAGCGUAGACGGCGCGGCAAGUCUGAAGUGAAAGCCCGGGGCUUAACCCCGGGACUGCUUUGGAAACUGCCAUGCUGGAGUGCUGGAGAGGUAAGUGGAAUUCCUAGUGUAGCGGUGAAAUGCGUAGAUAUUAGGAGGAACACCAGUGGCGAAGGCGGCUUACUGGACAGUAACUGACGUUGAGGCUCGAAGGCGUGGGGAGCAAACAGGAUUAGAUACCCUGGUAGUCCACGCGGUAAACGAUGAAUACUAGGUGUCGGGGAGCAAAGCUUUUCGGUGCCGGCGCAAACGCAAUAA
rnacentral:rRNA from 1 species